UAUUAUCGCGUUAUUGGCCGCAUUGAAAAAAUAUAUGUUGAACAUCUAUGGAUUGAUUUAUGCAAUACAUGCUAUAACCAAGUUGACAAUCAGUACGGCUGGUUUAUGUGUAAACAUUGUGGUAGAGAAGAUGUGUAGACUGUAACCAGGUAUAAUGCAAAGAUGGUUGUAAAAGACUCCACUGGCUCAAUGGAACUCUUGGUAAAGGACACGAAGGCAUAAUUCAUCUUACAAUGUGUCCCUUCAUAUCUGAAGAAAUUAAUGUUAAAAGAUAAUGGGGCGCAAAUGCUCAAAGACUACAUUUCUCAAUUUAAUGAAUGUCCAUACGUGUUUAUUAUUCCUGCUCCAAAGUUUGGAUGCGUUGACCAUUGUGCUCCCGUGGUGACUUUUGUAUUAAAAGUUGAUUGGUCAGAAGAGUGUUGGCAUAUUUUCAAAGGGAAAUCGAGAACUGGCAAAGAGACAUUGGAUUCAUCGUGAUAAGAGCUUUUUUAAGACAUUGAAAAUUUGAUAAUGACAUUUUAUUUGUUAGGUUAAGUUUUACAAGAAUAUAUUUGGUUUGACGUAGUUAAUUUUUAUUACGUGUG